rnacentral:lncRNA from 1 species
ACACACAGAGACACACCGCGACACACACACACACACGCGCGCAUACACACAGCCCGACACACACGCACGCGCGCUUCUUAAAGGAGACGGCUCAUAAAGGAUUCCCCACUACGCCAGCAGAGGGGAAGAGGAGCCCACGGGAAAGAAAAGCAGGCGAGGUUAAGAAUAAAGAGUGUUCCAGGUAUGACAGCUACCUCGGUGAGGUGGAAGAGAGAAUUGACAAGGCAAAUUUCAUGGGAUAGCACAGAAGCAGAGACUUUAAGUCUAAACAGACCUAGAUUCAGAGCCGACCCGAUGCUGCUUGAAGAAGGCUGGAGGUAUGUUAAGGAGACAAGGGCUGUCAAGAAGCAGGGAUGUCUCUGGAAAGGUUCCCCUUGCUGCUGCCAUGUGAAGAAGGACAUGUUUGCUUCCCCUUCUGCCAUCAUUGUUAUUCAUGUUAGGCUCCUGAAAACACCACAAGGACCUACCCUCCGGGAGCCAGCCAGAGAACCCUUCUUCCUGCACUGUCUCCGUUAUGCCCAACAUUUCUGGGCAUAAGUUUUAAUAAACCUUACCUGGGAAAAGUUUGUUUGGCCUCGUGUUAAUUGCUAUUAUAUGGAGAGCCAAGAAUCUCGAACCAGUAAGAGUUGUGAAGUCA